CUUAACACACACAGAUUCUACUUUUUACUUAAUUUUCAUAUUAACUAGAGCUCAUGCAAUAGAGCUCAUACAUAGGGCAUACAUUAGCAUGUAUUAGGGGAUGCAUUUUCAGCCCACAGUUUGGAUAUUCUUACUUCCUUUAUUCAGAGGAAGAGUUGAGGUUUAUCUCAAAUAAAUCUGUUUGUCUGUCUUAGCUGUAGCCGUCUUCCAGCACUUGUCCCUACAGCCCACAGUGAAAGCUGCAGAUUAGGUAAUUGCUGCCAUUCAGCUGUAGCCACGUGCUCUCUGUUUGUACAACUAGGAUCUGUUUUCCUAGAAAAUCAGAACACUCUUUGAUGUCUUAAGUACUACAAGCCUACCUGGUAUUUGUUCUGAGGUGUGUGUUCUUAGGAGCAUUCUGAUGAUCAAUACACAUCUGUUUUCAACCAGUUAACUCUUUAAAUAUGUAUAUAUAAUGGGGUUCUUCUAACUAUAAUCAAAGUGGGUAUGUCCAUUGCAUAAUAAGGUGAAGUUACAUGAAGCAAAUCAGGGCUAGAAUGAUCUCAUCUGGCACUAAAAUGCCUUAAAAACAAUUAAUUUUGAAGCUGUCGAUUUAUUUAUUACUUAAUAAACAGUGAUUCAUACUCUGUGAGUCAGGUCAGAUUUUGUUUACAGUCACAUUUUUUAAAAUAAUCCCAAAUACAAUUUAGAACAACUUCCUCUGUCUUUAGCUGUGCUAACUAGCACUGUAACAGAAGUAGGGUGCCUUUUGGGGAAGAAAAUGUGCCCUGUGAAAGGGCGGAAUUAUCUAACCUUAUGUCACUUAGAGCACUCAUAAAAAAUCCAUAAAUGGUCCUUGCUAAAGCACAUCAUGUGGCCACUGAAUUAGAAAUGCAGGGAUGGAAUAGAUUUCCAAAGGUUACAUCGUUCAGUCCCCUGGCGCUGGGGAAGAAUCAAAUACAAUGGAGUUUCCCACAGAGAAUUUUUCUGGAACAUAUUUUUUUAGAAUUUCUGCCAAAAGACAUUUGAGGGUGUCCUGUUCGAGAUUUUUCCUCUCAAUUUUACCUCAGUAUUUGGCCUAUAUAGCCUUUACUGAAAGUUACACUGGGUUCCUUUUGUCAUUCUUUCUGGUGAACAGUGGGUACCAAUCUAUCACUGUCUUUCUUAUUGACAGCUUUCUGUACCCUGGAAGAUUUAUCAACUCCUUACCUGCCUAGACUAAAGGAACCCCAUUUCUGCAGUCUUCUUUUGUGGAUAAAGCAUUCUGAGUCCUCUUCUCCAUCUUGCUGUUUGUGCUGUGGGCUUUCCACAGUGACUACUGGUGUUUUGGAGGAUGGUGCUGAGUACUGCUUAAGCUGCACUUUUCUGGGGAGCAAGGAGGCAAUCCCCACCCAGAUCUUGCCUGCAAAAUUCCUGACUCCAGGAGGUGUUUCUUUCCUUACUUUCCAGUGAUGCUCCAUGUUGACUCACAGCUCGUUCCUAAUAUGUUACAGAAUGGAUGUUCUUCUUCCUUAUUUGUCAUUUUGAGUUUUAAUUUCUCCUUACUAGUUAUUGUGCCUGAAUUUCCUUCCUCCCUCUCUCCUUCCCUUCCUCCUUCCCUCUCUUCCUCCCUCCCUUACUUCCUUACUUCCAGAUUAUGUGUUUAUUAAGACAGUUUUGAAUUCUGGAGUUGUUCACUAGACUUCUAUAACCUUUCAGUAACCCUAACACACCUACAGAUUAUAUACAUUAACUUUGAAGUGCAUAUGUUUAAUGAAAUGUUGAGGACAGUUGGGCCUGAAAUCUCAGAGGGAGCCAACUUGAAAGGAAAUCUCUGUUUGGUACUGACAGCUAUUCUUACAGAAGAGCUUUGCAAGCCACACUGUGUUUUAUGAUUUUUUCAUCCAGACGACAUUUCCCUUAUUUUCCUCUGAUAAUUGAAUAUGGAAAAUAUAAAAGCGUCCUCAAACUCAAGACAGGGUAAAUUUUGUUUUUCUUUAUUCAGUAUUCCAGUUACCCUGUCCAAGAAGGAAAUUAACUUGGUUUGACAUAAUUUGUUCUUGAAAAGUACAUUUUGGCUAUUUUUAUUAUUCUGCAGGUAAGUUCACCAUUUGCAUGUUUAUUCAUUUUUUUCCUAGUCCUGUAGUUAGGUGAAAAAAUCUGUUUUCUUUGAAUCCUCUAUUAUCCCUCUCUAUAAGAUGCCCGAUUUCUUGUUUUCUGAGACCAUCUCUAUUUAAUAUGACUCCUCACGUGUAACUACUGAUGCUUAAAGUAAUGUUAUUUAUUUAUUUAUGUAACUGAAGAUAAAUUUAAUCAUGUCCUGGGCAUUUUAAUAUAUAAAUCUCAUUUAGGAAUAUUAGAUACUAUGUCUUAACUACUGAAAUUCAGAUGUUGUCCUUCCUUAUACUUCAGAAGGCUUAAAAGUACCUUGAAAGAAUCACCAUCAUAAAACUACGCUUUAGCUCCCAGUAACAUUCCCCACAACAUCCAAAAUACUCAUUUGUAGUGGUGUUUGAAAUAACAAAAUCCACUUUCACACAGGACACAUUCAAAACUAGUUCACUGCAGCUGUUUGGAAGUAUUUUACAUUUUGUUCUCUGAAACAUUUUUUUCAGAAUUACCUUGGAACAGUACAGUUGGAAGGAACCCACAAAGAUCAUCGUGUCCCUGCUGCCUGGCCGCUGCAGGGCUAACCCAAAGUGAAAGCAUGUCAUUAGUAAGGGCAUUAUCCAAACCUCUUGAACACCGACAAGAAGUCUUGUAAGAUGAGCAGAAUUCCCCUCUGGAAGCUGAUGGGAUUUAUUUCUGUGUUUUUCACAACAUAGGAUGCUCUGGAUACUGAUGUCUCCUCAUGGCAGCACUCCUUUGUAUGAAUAAUUGAUUAUUUUUAAUAAGUGAAAGACGAGGAUCCUGUUGAGUUAUUCUUUACAUGACAAUAAAAAUAAUCAUCUGGAAGAUGGAAUCAUGCCACUGAUUUGUUUGGGGAAAAACAAACAAACAAACAAAAAAAACACUGUUGUUUGCUUGUUCUUCACUUCCAUCCUGCUCCCCAUUCCCAUUAUGUUCCUUUAGAGAAGAGAGGAUAAUCACACAUUGGAACAAGACUUUUUUUUCAUGCACAGUUACACAGCUUCCAGCAGAAGCAAAAAAAUGACUUGUUUGUGUCAAGUUAUGUUCAUAUGUAUAAUUACCUAUUUGCACAUAUUUUGACUUAAAAAUGACAUAUUCUAUAGGCUAAUCAUACGGGUUUGUUUCUGAUAUGUUUGGAAAAGCACAGAAAGAGCACUGCAGUAAAAGACUCUAAAUGUCUUGAAGAACACUACCAGGAAGACUAAGUAAUUCUGCUGGACUGGAAGAUCAUAACUACAUCUGAAUGCUUUGCCUGCAUGUCCAGGGAAUUGCAAGUGUAGAAGCACAUUUGAAAUUAACCUCUUUGUUGGCCCUCUUUGCUCCAAUGGCACAUGGAUGGCUCAAGUCAACUUCUCAUCCACAGUACCCUCACAUCUCUAUUCACAAAGCUGCUUUUUAGAUGGAUGACUCCCAGCAUAUCCUGCUUCCUGGAAUUAUUCCUUUCCAGCACCCCAGGGAACAUCACUAAUUACUGGGCUCCAACUGGUCUUUGUGCCACUGAGCUUCACCUGUUGGACCCAGUCAUCCAACUAGUUUUCAGUCCACCUCAAUCUUCAUCCAGCUCAUCAGUGUCUCUGUGAGACAGUUUUAAAGGUAUUUCUGAAGUCAAGAUAGACAACAUCCACCAAAUUCAAAUCAAUCAUAUGUGGCUAGCCUUAUUUACUGGUGGGUAGCAAUUGCUCUCACAGUUAUCUUGGCUGAGAUGGAAGCUUAGAAUUUGAAGACAAUGUGGUUCAUGCUGCUAAAAUGCAUGAUAGUUGGAAGAACUACUGAAUAUUGUUUGCAUAACGUAAGUUCUCCGACUGACAUUGAUAGCCAACCACAUGUAGUACCUACAGGCAGAAAUACGUCUCACAAAUAUAUCUCAUUUACCUGCAACCUUUCCUGUAUUUUAAAUAUUCAUGACAUCUUGCAGUCAUUAAUUCUAUAGUUGCAUUUCAUUUCAUUUUCAUUUCAUGUUCAUAUACUUCCUCACAUUUUCUUAGUGUGUUCCCUCAUUAUUCUGUUACAAAAUACUAGAAAUAAUCUUUCCUUUCUGUGUUGAUAGUAAUUUUACAUAUUUGCCUGUAAAAAUAUCUUAUUCUGUUUCCCAGAUGAUGUUGAUUUAUUUUUCUGUUAUGCAUAAAAUCUCUAUGUUUGUAUUGUAUUGUUCUUCUGGUAUACCUUUUUUUUUUUUUAGUUGCAAUGAUUUGAUGUAAAUCUUAUGAGAUUGAGAUAUUCCAAUAUGGAAACCUGUGAGUUUAAAUGCUGACAUAGUUAUUUCUUGCAGAUUGUCCUCAGUUAUCUUGGGAAAGACCCCCAAAUCCAGCUACUAGCAGAGCUGCGUGAAUAUAUUCCUGACAUUUUGAGAGAGUUCUCAGUAGUUCUCUGAGUUUUUCAUGGUGAUAAUAGCUAACUUGGAGUCUUCAGCAUUGAUCAGUAAUUCUAUUUUUCCUCUGUGUACUACUUCUCACUUUUCUAUUGCAUUUCCACUACCAUUUUAUUACUCGAUCACCAGAUUCAGUCAAUGAGAAGAUAACAGCGAAAACUACUUCUUGUAGCUGGAGAAAAAUAACUAACAUAGUAUAACUUUUCAAACGAUUCGUACUUUUCUGUAACACUUUCAUGCUAAAUCCACAGCGGUGCAAAAAUAUCCAUAUACAUCUACAACUCUGGCCUGGAAAAGAGAGAGUAACUUGGAAAAGAAGAAAAUAUGAGCUUUUUCACAUCUGUUUUCACAGAUCUUUAAAUCCCAUGUAAUCUUGUCCAUUUGUGCAAAUCUAUGGGACUUCUCAGUGCUAAAAGGAACAAUUACAAUGUGUGAUUAUUUGCUUUAAAUAGCAGGAAAAAGGGCUUAUAUUUGAAUUUGACCACUACAUUUGUAUACAGAAAGAUUAACUGACUGAAACAGAGAGGAGGGAAUGAAGGAGAAGGUUUAAUUCAUGCUCUUGCUCUGUCAGAUUUUCUUCCAUUCAUUUCUAACCUCUCCAAAAAGAACCAAACAAUCAAAAACUCUGUAAAAUGUUUUCACAAAGGAUUAACCUUGAUAGAAUUACCUUCUCUACUGAAAGCUGUUUCCAUUUAAUUUUUCUGGCCAUUUUAAACUUUCAGGAUCAGGUACAACUGAAUGAGCUUUUCAGUUUGAAGAAAUGGGUCUAUAGCAAAAGGUUAUAAACUGUUGACAUUUUCAGCUUGUCCAACAAGAAAAAAAACCUAAUUUUGGAAUUAUAAAAAAAAAUCAAAACAAUAAAAAACAGAUCAGAUGGAAUUUUUCAUAAUAUAAUAGGCAUGUUUUCUGAAUAAUAGGUGCAUUAGGUAGAAGGAAGGUAUUUUCUCUUUUGCCCAAUAACUUACUGGCAAGAAGAUACUCCUAAGAAAUUUAGAAAAGAGGAAGUUUUGUAAGGAAGUAUUAUUGAAUUAAAAAAAUCAGAACCCUUCAUGAAGGACUCUCUGUCUCUGAGUGAGUCAGAAACAAAUGAUAUUUAUAGCAUAUAAUUAAGGUGACCCUCCAUUUUUUUAAAGACAAUUUUUUACAUUUGUUGAGUGCAAAAUCAGUACAAGUAGUUGAAUAGAAAACUUGUUCUUUGAGGGGGAAAAGGAUAGGAUUAAUUUUACGUCUCUUGGAAUACGUUGCUUUCAAGAUGAGAGAGAGAGAUCCCUGAUCGUAUUUGGUCUUCCUAGCUGGAAAGAUGUUCUCCUGCCAUUUAUUUAUCAGGGCUUUGUGUAUGAGGUUACAGAGAUGCUUCAUCCACUUUCGUAUAUAUUUAGUAUGUUGACUACAGAAUUGACUCACAAUGCAUUUUGUUUUCUGCUUGUUUUGUUUUUUGAAUACUUGGUGAAGAAUAUCUUUCCAUCAAAUCAGCAGAGUGCCCACACUUCAUUUUGCUUGUAGCAGUUCUGUAACUGGCAUACUGCUUGAUGAGACUGCACUCAUCUUUGCAUACUGAAAAGCUUUAUAAAAAGAUAAAGAGAAAUGCAAUGUUGUGUUGGGGUGGGAGGGCUUUUCAUACCCUGCCCUUAAUUUUAUCUCCUGUUUUUAUCUUUCACUAACAUUCUGUAACACUGCUGAGAUUUAUUUUGUGAUGAAUUACAACAUUACAUCAUAAACUGCAUCUCUGAAAGUUUUGAUUUAACUUUAAAUAACCAGUUGUGUUAUUUUCUUUUCUCUAAAGAUAUUUAUUGCACAUGUCAGCAAAGCAGAAGUUUUUAACAGAUUUUUCUUUUCUCAUAACAAUUACAGAUUAUUUUUUCAAUUCCUAUAUUUCCUUUUGUAACCAUUUUAUUCUCUUUAAAUUGUAUAACUUUUAGUCCUCCAGCAGUGCAGCAGUCAUCUUCUUCACAAUGUUUUGAUUAUGCCUUUACAUAAUAUCAAGAACUUAUUCAGCUUCUGUAGUAAUGAUUCGCAGUGGCUUUGGAAGUGGAAGAAGGAAACUUAAUGCAUGAGCAAAGCAGGUAAUAAUUUUUCCAGUUUUUACCAUCACAGCAGGGCAGAAUUCUCAAAUCCUAUGCAAACCAUACCGCAGUCUCUGGAAAGCUGUUCAAUAAAAAAGUAUGACUUGGAGACAAAACAUAGUUUGCUUUCACAAAAGUAAGAAAAAGAAAAAAAGAGAACACAAAUGGCAUGCAGACACAGGCUAUUUAUGCAGUAAAGUACUACUCUGCUGUAACAAUGAUGAAAGAAAAUUGUUUAAGAAUAUGGCCUACUUUUCUGUAGAAGCAUCAUAUUGUGUGAAACAGAAGUUUACAUAAUGCUCCUGUAGCUGACCUUUCAGUAAAAUAUUUUUCAAAUUAGGCCAGAUGUUUACUGAGACAAAGACUUGCAUGAAUAGCUCUAUUUGCUGUGAAGAUGCUAAUUAAUCCCUUUCCUGGGGAAAUGUGCAAAAAUAAUUAAGAGAUUGGCUGGAUUUCAUUCUGAUUUUUUUUUCCCUGAUCUAAACUUAUGGGGACUCCACAAAACUUCCAAGAAAUCAACACCUGGUCUACGUCUUUUAAAGAAAGACUGUUUUAUUAGGAAAGUCUAUACAUAUGAAUAAUAUGAUAUGGGCUUUUGAGGGGCUAUGGUAUGCAUUUUGAAUUAUUUUUAUAUCACUGUCUAUAAAGCCUGGCAUCAUCAAGACCACCAGAGGAAGGAAAUAAAUCAUUUCACAAGAUUCAACCAAUUCUCUCAGCACAGAAUGGGUGCACACACAGAUGAGUACUGUUCCCUGCUCUUACAUCAGCCCUGUUGCUCCAUUGUUACCUGAUGUUUGUCUGUGCCUUCAGGGCCAUUUGAUGCUGUAGCUUUCAAGAAGAGGUUGCACCAUACAUAUUUGUGUUGCAUAGUGCAAAUAUACCUCUAUAUGCAGUUCUGUACACAUAGUACUCUGAUCUACUACACGUGCUGCUUUAGCUUUUUCCAGUUUAUUCUUAGUCAUCCUGCAGCUAUUCUAUGAACAGAACAAAAUUUAGCUGAUGACCUUUUCUUCAAGAUUAAGGAGCACAACUAACAUAUUUAGCGUAGUCGCUGAGAUUAUUUUCUUCAGUUCAGAUUUAUCUUCAGUGGAUUUUGCUUUGUACUGGGAACAAGUUUGGGCCAUAGACUAUUUUCAUUCAACCUUAACAAGAAAAAAAGAAAAAGAAAAAAAAAAGCAAAUGGAAAUCUCUGACUACAUUUUCUUCUGAGUUUGUAUUUAACAUUAUGAUUAAUGUUCUGGAAUAUACAUUUGAGGGUCUUUUUUGGGUCAUUUAUUUUAAUUCCAGCAACAGAGAAAGUGUCACUGAAAUGUUACAAACUAUACUAUUGUAAUACGAUUUUUUUUCUUUCUGUUAAUUUGUGUACCCAUUUUUACACAGUAAAAAUCAUUAUGGUAAGAUAUAGAUGCUGUUCUGGAAAUCCGUUAUAAGUCUGGUUCUAAUCAAGCCAAGUGUUGAAAUUUCCCAGUAUAGAAAGAGCUGAGAUACCAUGGUGAUUGUCUCUAUAAAAAAUCUAUUUCCUGCCAAAUUUGAAGGUUUAGGAGCAACCACACUGCAAUGUAUUUUAUGAGGAUCAGUUAACAGAAAAAAACAGACACAUGGGUUCUGUGACUUGCUUUCUGAGCCAGAAAUCAUUCUCUGAUGUCAACUGUUUUGAAUACCAUUGGAAUUUGAAUGUAGAGAUUGAGAACUGAACAGAGCCUCCAACAAGACUAUGUUAAUUUCUGAAAGUUCUAUAGUGUCAUGCUGGGGAUUGAAGGUGACAUUUUCCCAGGUCUGAUCUGUUCUUUCAUCAGAUCUCAUUGCUCUGAAACUCAAAGUACACUCUGAACCAAUGUGAAGUGUGGGACAGCUGUGGUAAAGCUUCGGGCUUUGACUUGUGCUCUCUGCUAUCAUGGAGCCAUCCUGAUUAAGGCUGUCUGAAAAUUAGAUGUGGUCCCUCUGUCUCCAUCACUCUGUCAGUCCUCCUUCUAAUUUUAAACCUGAAUUUAUUUCUGUUCAAUUUAUAUCCAUUUUUUUUCUUGUUUCAGUAUGUCCUUCAGUUUAUGUAGUUCUUCUGCCUCCCCGCUGAUUCUCUUCCAUUCUGACACCAUCCUACCUCAUCUUCCUACACCAUUCCUUUAUUAUGUAAAAAAAUCAAUCAUAUUCCUCUUUGCAUCCCAGCAUUCAUUUUGGCCAAAUAAACAAGUCAUGCUUUUUCAGUACAGUCCAUAAAGGCAACCUUUCUCAUUUUCAUGUUCAUGCUAAGAAACUUUAUCUUCUUUUGCAAUUGAACUCUUCUUCUUGAGAGAGGACAGCUAGAACUUCAUUGCAUAUUAUGGAUGAAGCCCAAUGCUUACCUACCUUGUACAGUGGCAUUAAUAGUUCCCAAGCCUCUGAAAAUACUUUUCUGAUGCAUUCAGCUGCUGUGCAGACUUUUAGUAUUUAAUGCUAUGUCUUGGGUGAGAUAGAUUGUAACACCCAUCUUAUACCUCCAUUUGCAUUAUGUCCACUUCAGCAGGUACUAGUCCUGGACUGGAACUUAGACCAUAUUCUAAUGUUUGUUAAUAAAUUUUAUUAGUAGUAUUUAUGAAAUGCAUCUCUGAUUAUUGGAGGAUGUUGGGGAUAUGUUUUAUUAAUCCCUGGUUAUCUUAUUUGUCACUGUAUUUACAGUUCAUUUCCUUUUCACUUAUAAGGAUUUUGCAUGUGCUCGUUUUGGUGAUUUUACUUCUGUGCUGUGGCUACCCCUUAGGAAGUGCAAAACAGCUUACAAAUCUUAGCUUUGCAUAUUCAGAUCUUGAUGUAAUACAAUUGUAACGUUCAGCCUGCACAUAAUAAUGUGUGGAAAUUUUUUACUGGAAUUAAAUAAACAGUAGUCAGCAUUAGUGUACAUUCUAAAUAAUAAAACUAAUGUUUAUAAUGAACUCUAAUGAAGCUGCUAUUUAGAUGACAACGUUUAUUAGGCCCAAUAUAAUUUCAUUUAAUUUGUGAUUCAAGAUGAAAAAUGUUUGUGUAUAUAUAUUGUUACAGGCUAUACACAGUGGAACAUCAUACAGAGGAAAAGCAAGAGAGAGGAAAGAAAGUCAAAAUCUAACUAGACUUUCUGAUACAGUAAAAUACUUUUACCAUACUUUACUCCAAAAUUCUGGUCUUAGGUCUUUAAAUUCAAGAUGUUGCAAGAUUGAGACAUAUAGCUACAUAUAAUGUUAUCUUAAACAGCCACAGAAGAAUAAUUUAAAUUUUGUAAGGAGUAUACUGUAUUUCUAUGUUAAUGUGUGUUAUGUAAAAAGAUUACCUUUAAUUAGCUUUGAAAGGAGAAAGUCGGAAAAUCUAGUAAAUUUAUCAUUUGAAUCACCACUAUUUCUACAGGCCUGCACUGUGCCAACCCUAGCAGACCAAGGACCACAUUUUAAGGGAUGUGGGUGCACCUGAAGAUCAGAAUUGAAUGGUGCGUCUGGUAUUAAUGCAGUCCUUGUCUUGCAAGGCAGGGAACAGUUGCAGACUGUGUAGUGCUCCCCAAAGAAGAUUGUUGCAUGUACCUUUGGACGUCCUCUGUUAAUGAAACCCUUAUGCAAUGACUCAGAACUCUGGGGAAAGUAAUCUAAAGUUGUCAACUUUAAAAAAAAACUAUUUCUGGUGAGACUUUUGGGUGGAGUGAUGCUUACAUCAGUUGUUAAAUUUUCCAUAUACAAGUUCUUUCCUGGUUAAAAAUAUGACUGUUUAUUGACGCUGUUAAAACACUUAAGAAUGAAAAAAAUAUUUUUUAUGGCCACAGAUAAAUGAUUGCUGUAGUAACUAUGUUGAAUUAAACUGCUGAUUGAUUUAUUA